AGCAGCCGCCGCGGGAAUACGAAGGGUGCAAGCGUUAAUCGGAAUUACUGGGCGUAAAGCGCGCGUAGGUGGUUUGGUAAGAUGGAUGUGAAAUCCCCGGGCUCAACCUGGGAACUGCAUCCAUAACUGCCUGACUAGAGUACGGUAGAGGGUGGUGGAAUUUCCUGUGUAGCGGUGAAAUGCGUAGAUAUAGGAAGGAACACCAGUGGCGAAGGCGACCACCUGGACUGAUACUGACACUGAGGUGCGAAAGCGUGGGGAGCAAACAGGAUUAGAUACCCCAGUAGUCCCUGUCUCUUAUAC
rnacentral:rRNA from 1 species